rnacentral:rRNA from 1 species
ACUCCUACGGGAGGCAGCAGUGGGGAAUAUUGCACAAUGGGAAGGCCAUCGAUGCAGCCAUGCCGCGCUGUGUGAAGAAGGCCAAUUCGGGCUUGUAAGACACUUUCAGUAGGGAGGAAGGUAGUGUAGUUAACACCUGCAUUAUUUGACGUUACCUACAGAAGAAGCACCGGCUAACUCCGUGCCAGCAGCCGCGGUAAUACGGAGGGUGCGAGCGUUAAUCGGAAUUACUGGGCGUAAAGCGCAUGCAGGCGGCCUGUUAAGUCAGAUGUGAAAG